GAACCUUCUUCUACAGAGAGAUUACAUUCUGAUUAUCAAAUGGAUUAUCCUUUCGAAGAUCUUCACAGUGGAAUUGGUUCCCCAUCUCAUGUUGCUGCAGUAGAGUUACCGCGAAGUAAGGAAACUAAAGGGACACCAGUGGAAAUUAAUCACUUUGUCUCGUCAGGAAACUCUGGAGAUGCAGUAAGAUCCAAUGGUAGCUCAGUAUCCGGAGAUGGAAUCC